UGAUGGUCAUGUGCCUGGGGUGGGGUGAGUGUGCUUAGUGGUCAUGUGACUGGGUGGGUGUGGCCAACUCAAUGUCGCUCAUGACAAGGGGUGCCUCGCCUGGCCCCUACCCUCCCAGCCAUUUCUUGUCAAUUAAAAAUAGCACAGACUCAACUUAUUUAUAAUU